CUACAGAACAAACUAAAUCGGCGCGCCCAGUUUCAACCUCCGUUCAUCGAGGUAGAGGAGUUAGGGCAAGCCAGGAUCUCGUUUGAAUGCCGCCGAAAGAACAAACUACCUCGGCGUGCCCAUAUUUACCUUGUGUCCUCUGAGACACAAGUUGAGGAGUCAAGGAGAGCCAGGACAUUAUUUGAACGCUGCUUUUUUUGGACCAAGAUCAAACUACCACUGCGGCACAACCGUGUUCACCCUCUGUCCUCUGAGGCAGAGGAGUCAGGAAGAGG